CACCCACCAUCAGGCAGGAGUUACUGAGGAAAUUUCUGUCUGAAGUUUCCAAACAGAGCAAAGAAAAGUCAGAGAGAACCAGCCCGAGACCGAUGCUGCAUUUGGAAGGUUGUGGUCGGCCAAGAGAAGGCAGUGGUCCACAGAGUCUCCAUCCCUCCAGAGGACCACAGAGCCAGGACACGCAACAGGUCAACUAGACAGAGGGAUGUGGAGUGGUCCAGUGGAGGACAGACCCUGGAAGGGAAUUGAAGGGUCUUAGCAGCCAGGGAGAUCAUGGCACAUUUCUUUCUGGAGGACUAAGA
rnacentral:lncRNA from 1 species